GAUGAACGCUGGCGGCGUGCCUAAUACAUGCCAGUCGAGCGAACAGAUGAGGAGCUUGCUCCUCUGACGUUAGCGGCGGACGGGUGAGUAACACGUGGAUAACCUACCUAUAAGACUGGGAUAACUUCGGGAAACCGGAGCUAAUACCGGAUAAUAUAUUGAACCGCAUGGUUCAAUAGUGAAAGACGGUUUUGCUGUCACUUAUAGAUGGAUCCGCGCCGCAUUAGCUAGUUGGUAAGGUAACGGCUUACCAAGGCAACGAUGCGUAGCCGACCUGAGGGGGUGAUAGGCCACACUGGAACUGAGACACGGUCCAGACUCCUACGGGAGGCAGCAGUAGGGAAUCUUCCGCAAUGGGCGAAAGCCUGACGGAGCAACGCCGCGUGAGUGAUGAAGGUCUUCGGAUCGUAAAACUCUGUUAUUAGGGAAGAACAAAUGUGUAAGUAACUAUGCACGUCUUGACGGUACCUAAUCAGAAAGCCACGGCUAACUACGUG
rnacentral:rRNA from 1 species